GCUCCGUGUCACCAGCUGAGGGGACACUGUCCCUUCACCCAGGUCACUGGUGGGAACACUGACCAGGACUGGACCCAGGACUGACCCUGAGGAGCACCACGAGUUCCUGACCUCCAGCUGGACUCUCCCUGACCACGACCUCUCAGCUCUGUGUUCUGAGCACCCCCUCCCCCUGAGGGUGCCGUGGGAGAUGGGGUCAGAACCCUCACUGAAGCCACGGUGGGCACCAUCCCCUGCCCACCCACCCACCCGUGUCACAGCCGUGUCACUGCAGGAGCCAUCAGCUUGCCCAGAUGUGGCUCCCCCCAUGCUGACCACUUCCAGGUUCCUUUUCCUCCAGGAUGGAGUCCUCAGGCACCUCACCUUUCUCCAGGACAUUUCAGAGAUGAUGGAGAGUGGCCCAGGAAUGACUUCUGCCAGCUCCUCCUGGAUGCAUCCCACCAGGACCCAUGGACUUGUGG